UACGGGGGGGGCAAGCGUUGUUCGGAAUUACUGGGCGUAAAGGGCUCGUAGGCGGCCAACUAAGUCAGACGUGAAAUCCCCAGGCUUAACCUGGGAACUGCGUCGGAUACUGGAUGGCUUGAAUUCGGGAGAGGGAUGCAGAAUUCCAGGUGUAGCGGUGAAAUGCGUAGAUAUCUGGAGGAACACCGGUGGCGAAGGCGGCCUGCUGGGCAGUUGCUGACACUGAGGCGCGACAGCGUGGGGAGCAAACAGG
rnacentral:rRNA from 1 species